AUUGAACGCUGGCGGCAGGCCUAACACAUGCAAGUCGAGCGGAGCGGCGGAAGGGUGAUUAAUGCCUAGGUAGCUGCAUGGUAGUGGGGGAUAACGUACGGAAACGGGCGCUAAUAACACAUACGAUCAGAUGAGCUUAGGGUGGCUUAGCUAGUUGGUGGGGUAAAGGCCUACCAAGGCGACGCGCCGUAACUGGUCUGAGAGGUUGAUCAGUCACACUGGAACUGAGACACGGUCCAGACUCCUACGGGAGGCAGCAGUGGGGAAUAUUGGACAAUGGGCGAAAGCCUGAUCCAGCCAUGCCGCGUGUGUGAAGAAGGUCUUCGGAUUGUAAAGCACUUUAAGUUGGGAGGCGUUACCAACAGAAUAAGCACCGGCUAACUUCGUGCCAGCAGCCGCGGUAAUUC
rnacentral:rRNA from 1 species